ensembl:lncRNA
AACGGCACCCCGCUCCCGCAGGAGCAUUAUAUCUCUCCCCCACUGCUGCAGCAGUGUAUGCUCCCGCAGGAGCCUUUCCGUAUUUCAUCACUGCCGCAGCAGUGUCUGCUCCCGCAAGAGCCUUUCUGUAUUUUCUCACUGCCGCAGCAGUAUCUGCUCCCGCAGGAGCCUUUCCGUAUUUCCCCACUGCCGCAGCAGUGUCUGCUCCCGCAGGAGCCUUUCCGUAUUUCAUCACUGCCGCAGCAGUGUAUGCUCCCGCAGGAGCCUUUCUGUAUUUUCUCACUGCCGCAGCAGUGUCUGCUCCAGCAGGAGCCUUUCUGUAUUUCCUCCGUGCAGUGUCUGCACCCGCAGGAGCCUUUUUUCUGUAUUUCUCACUGCUAGCCGCUAUCACUGCUAGCCACUAUCGCAGGAGCCAAAUUUCUCCACUGCUGCAACAGUGUCUGCUCCCACAGGAACCUUUUCUGUAUUCCCCCAUUGCCGCAGCAGUGUAGGCAGUGUAUCUUCCCUACUGCCACAAUUAUCGCAUCUCCAGCAGUUGUCGUCAUCUCUCUCUUUCAAGUGGACGCUUCCAUGGAAGUCGAAUUCUCGCAAUAAUUAUAUACCAAAGGACGUCCAGCACCCAUCUGACAUUAAGCCCAGAAUUUUGGGGAGUCGCAAAUGUGCGUAUCUGGCUGCUGUCCUGUUCUAAUUGCUUUUUGGGAAGCACUUUGGGCUGGGCCGGACUCCGAGCUCAGACCCCUCUCCACGAGGGCUGCACGAUAAAUUGGAUGUGAUUGCCAUGUGCAUCUCAUCAGUAAAGCCAGUUCUGUGAUUAAUAGUACUGGUAAAUCGCCAUCACGUGCUUUCAGAUUAUUCAGAUGCAUUUAAUACACAGAGCCGUAGAUCACUGACAAGCUACAUUAUAUUGCAUUCAUUAGAUGAAUCGCAUUCGAUUAUGAAUGCGAUAUUGCGUAGUUUGUUAUUGUUAGUAUUUUUAUUAAUGCCAUUUAUGUUUUUGUUAAUACAGCACAUAUCACUAGUCAACUAAAUGAAUGUAACAUGGCAAAUAUGAAUGCACUUUUGGAAGUGGAAUGUAAGGGAAAUGUCAUUUUGGAAUUUCUGUGGUCUAAUGUGAUAUUGUUCAUGUCCUUGGUUCAUGAUGAAAUUUUAUUUUAUUGCUGUAAUUAAUUUAUAGCAUUAACAAGAUGACCCGUUGAAUUAAUUUUUGAAGCAGUGACUGAUGAAUGUAUUUUUAGUCCAGUGCCUGUAUAUAAAAUUAGUAUUGACCAAGUUAAGAGACUGUCAUAUGUGGAUCAACUUACUAUGUUGUGUAUUUUCAUCAGUUUCAAUAACUUUCAUAUUGAUUAAAUGGAUUUAUUGCAUUUUAAGAAAAAAAAA